ensembl:snRNA U6 U6 spliceosomal RNA
GUACUAUCUUCAGGAGGACACAUACUAAAAUUAGACUGAUAUGGAGAAGAUCAGCACAGCUCCUGAGCAGGGAUGAGGCACAAAUUCCUGAAGUGUUCCAUUAUUUA